rnacentral:lncRNA from 1 species
UAGUGAUAUAUCAAGUUUUUAGUGUAUACAAUUUCAAAUAAUUUCAAUAAGAUACAUUUUUUUAGAGCUAGAAGUCCUUAAACCUACAGUUAUUAGCGAUAACCUCAGUUUUAAAAUCAGAUAAACGAAAUCGUUGGUUAGAACGACUCUAAUGAAAAUCCGAAUUAUUUAUUGGUUUUUUUUCCUUAAGUAGUUUGAGUUAUUUAUCAUGGCGGGAUAUUCUUAAUUUGUAAUUCAUUUAUUUAUUUACAUAAAUAUUGUUAUUUUGGUUUAUCUAGUUGAUUUUUAACGUGUUUAUAAUAUUGUUUUGAAAUUACAGGAGAUUGUAUAUCGGAUACAGUUUCGCUUUUUUAUUCUAGGAACCUGCGUAUUACUAAUUUUUCGAGCAGAGUAUCAUCAGACCGCAACGUAUUAGAACCGUAUGAUAUUAAUACAACAAUAUGUAGACCGCAUAAUAAAUAACAACUAGGGCUGGUAAUGUAAUGCGGCCCCGGAAAACCAUAAAAAAUGUCUUCCCCCUCAAAAAAAAAAAAAAAAAAAACGUGUUCAUGUCAGAAAAAUUCAAACUAACGCAUCUAUAAAAUACGCUACAAAACAGGAAAAAAAAAAAUUACUUAAACCAAAAACCGUAUAUUUUAUAAAACGUCUCGUUCAAAAACACACCGCGAAGUAAGCUUUGGUAAACAGUGCAAAGUACAUUGAAAUUCCCGUUCUCUCGUUAUAAACUGUAUCUAUGUAAUAUAGUACAGUGUUACAUCUAGCGAUGUAAAUCAACAAUAUUACUUUGGUAAUGUAAAGUGAAACAAUAUAAUUUAUCGGUAAGUAUUUUACCAUUUUACAAGUAAUUUAUUUCUUAAUCGUUUUACUCGAAUAAUGAAUAAUUGCUAAUGGCCGUACUAAGACCAUCCGGUAACACUGAUCAGAUUAGUUUCGAAAUAAAUUAAAAUGAUAAGAGUGAUAAGACGUUUAAAAAUCAUAAAUGUUUUGUCCGUUUAUUCAGUUUUCACCGACUACUUAAGUAAUAAGUAAUAACUAAUAACAUUUAUUAUUUAUUACUACUAUUAAAAUAAUUACCAUCAUAAUUUACAAUGCAAUUAGGUUUAGGUAUGUACAAUAAUUACACGAAGGGAAACAAAAUUUGCAUAGCUAUAUAGUUUAAUGUAGCCAGUUUAAGGUGGUAUAUUAUGCAGUAUGGGUAUUUUAAGUUCCAAUAAUAAUAAUACGUUUUUUGUUUAAUUAGAAAAUAGAAAAAUUAAUUUUGCAAUAUUACCAUGAAAAAGUAGCUUACCGGCUAAUAAUCUAUCGAUAAUUAAUUCGGGCAAGCAUUAUUUAAAAAUAAAUAACCGGCAAUUUCACGUCACUAUAGUUGUAACAACGAAAUAAACAUAAUAUUGUAUUAUUGUUCGAAAACUAUUUGUCGGCGAACGUAAAACAGAAUCGAAUCGUGAAUAAUAUCAAUAAAUUUAUUGUUUGGUAACGCGCUGCGCGUGUCGUGUUCGGAAUAAAUAAUAACAAAAACCGACGAGUGUUAUUGGCACGCACGUGUGUUUUCGUUACUCUCGCCAAGAACGGGGGGGGGGGGAAACAAAAAAAUGUUAACUUUUACUUUCAAAACACGUGUAGGAUAGGUACGCGCGCAUUAGACGGUUUUCGCGUACAAUUCGAAUUAUUCCGAAUUGAAUUACCGUCGUCCCAUAUAAUAAACCGCACUACGAUUGGGUUAAGAGGACGUGAUAUCCGCAUGUGCCGUCUCCGUCUUGCAAACGGUACACGAAAUGUCAAAUUUGAGUUCGGCUGGCACAAUUUUGGUGCUGUCAGUUUCAAUAUCACAGUGAACCGGCCUACGAUAAAACGUAAAGAUAAGGACAUUCUGUGUAACUAUGGAGGUUUUUUUUUUUUCGAUAUUUUAAUUUUUAAGCGAGAUGUAAGCGUUUUCGAAUCGUGAUGUUCCAAGAACUUACUCUUAUCGCGCUUAAAAAUUAUCGACAAACACUUUCGCGGUUACACACAGUCAGUGAUGACAAUGUUCUUACCGAUAACAGUUUGAUUCACUCUUAAUAUUAAAACUAACAGCAAAAAGUUGUCACUGUUGAACGAAAACGUGUUUGUAAAGACGGAGACGAUGCGUACGCGGAUAUCACGACCCGUACGUAUAAUUCUGAACACAGAUUUGAAUAUAUUUUGUCGUCAACUUGAGAUCGACUUUUCCGGUUUUUCAGUUUUUAAACUUGACGAGUCGUUUGAAUCCGUUACCCAGAAUACUGGUCGAGUUUCUAAAUUAAUCGGAAUGAAAACACGUCUAAAUUUCUAUGUUGCGCGCAUGUUAGACGAAGACGAAAAACCACCGCUUCCGAUCUCCUCGAGUUAGGCCGACUGGGGUCAGAUCAGGCUCACCUAACGGUGAAAUACUAUAAUUGAACUACGAUAACACCACGGUAAUAUUUAUAGUAUAAUAUAGCAAUACAAAAUAUCCCGCUCUUUGUAUGUACGCGUUUCGGAUGUAUUUUUCGAGAUAAAAACGAAUUAUUGUACAGACGACCUAGUCGUAGUAGACUGGUAUGAUAAUGUAACGAAAAAUUGAACGAACAGGUAAAAACAAAACAAAACGGAAAUGUGUUUUUUAUCUAGGAGAAAGUAACAAAACUAUUAUAAUUUCUAAACACAAUGUCGUAGGUAGUGUGAGUAGUGCGCAAUACAAUUAUUAUAUAAAAAAUAAAGACGUGCCAUAAAAAAGAGACGUUCUAUUAUUAAAUACACGUUAUUAUUAUUGUUCGCACUUUCCACGACUCAACGACGGAACGUUGACCGUCAUCUCGUUAAAUAAUUUGGUGAUGUUUAAUUCGCUUUUAGUGUUUUGGGGUCGUUUGAACGUGGAAAGAAUACAAAUAAAAUAAAACGCGAUUAUUGGUUUUAAUCUAAGUUGCCGAGUUUUUGGAUAGUUUUUUUUUUUUUUUUUUGUCGUUGUUGCAAGGGAAAUUUACGUUGUUUUGCAAAAUGUUAAUAUUAAUUACAGAGACUAUGGCGUCCUUCUACUUGAAAAAUUAUAUCAUAUUCGUCUCGAUCCAAACCGUCAGUGGCGUGCGCGCAGAGGAGGGGGAAUGUUAUGGGUUAUGUUCCUCUCUCAUUUUCUUAAGAGCACAACUAUAUGUGUGUUUAUUCAGUCAUUCUAGCAGGAAAUUAUGUAUCUAUUUUUACCAAAUUACAAGAAAAAAAGAUUGGUUUAUUGUAUACAAAUUGGCAUUUUCGGAUUGCUAUGGUACAACAGAAGAACGGUGUAUUCGAGAUAACGAUACUCGUUAGUCUCGCAACAGCGUAACCAGUGGGAAGGCUAAAGAGGCUUUAGCCACCCCUUCGUUUGUUUUGUCAAAUAUUGAAAAAUAAUAUGGAUUAUAUUCAACAUUGACUAAUUAUUACCAACUCAAAUUUAAUUUUAAUCAUUACGUAUAAUUGCACUACUUUUUUAACUAAGUAGACAAAAUUUCUACUGCACUGCAUUUAUGUAAUUCGCAAAACGUUUGUUAUUUUAUCCGUAGGUUUUCGAGUUAAACCGCCCUCCUCAAUCGAAAAAUCCCGGGUACGCCACACAAUAUCUCAUCCCAUUGGCAAUUCCAUUUAAAUUAUCGUGUACAUUAUCCGUAUAAACGCCCGGACCCUUACGUCCUCAACCCCGAAAAGAUUUAGCAUGGUUCCGGAAUACGAUGCGAGAGGUAUCUCACAUAUGUAUAUUUAUGUAUAAGGUGUGUAUUUUUUAAAUAAAAAAUGUAUAGAUAAAAACGAAAAAUAAAUAAAUGAGUAAACGCGUCACCUGGAGUGUUAUGAUAAGUGUUAUUAUACGACCGGUUUAGAAUUAAAAAUUCAUCAUCGGGUACGUCACAGUCAAAACGAAAAACGCGACUGAAUGUGAAAAAUUAAAUGAAAGAAUACAAAAAAAAAAAAAUUAUACAAAUUGGUCGUUACGUAAAAAUAAUUUAUUUUAAUAGGUGACAUUAUUUAAAAUGGGUUACUAAUUCGUAUUUAUAUAAUGAAAAUUACGAUACUACACAAUCAUCAUUAUCGGUUAAAUGCGUUGGCUAUCAUACUGGCAGUACAUAAAAAUGUACUUAUAGACCGGGAGGACAUACCGAAAUGGCUGUGAGGCCGGCAAGUGGACUAGACGUCUAGACCUGUAAUUACAGAUUGUACAGUUUGUUUGUCAUUGAUAUUAUGAAAAUAAUAUGAUUAUUAUACACUUGCGAUUUCAUUUUUUUUUUUUCAAACCUUACCUCUACCCCCCCCUCCCCCACGGAAAUAGCUCUUAUAGCCAACGAGUUCGUAGCUCCCGGCCCGUACAAAUUCCCUACUCCCGUCUCCGCGCCCGCCGAAGACCUAGACCGAAUCACGCCACUGAGAACGCGCCGUCGAACAGAACGGGCGGAUAAUAACAUUAACAUAGUACAGCACGAAACGCGAUGUAGGCGGGGGGAGGGGAAAGAGAGAAAAAAAAACUCUUUAAAAACGACGAUGUUCCACAAGUGUGCGCGCGCGUAGCGUCGUAAUGUGCAAUGGCGCGUGUCGCAGCGCGCAGUGCAACAACAACGACGACAGGCGACCGGCUCUCCACGUGGAGUGACGUCACGCGUAAAUACACACGACUGGCCGCGUUCCCGCGAUUUCCCGUACACAACUGUUCGUGUCGGUUAAUGUUUUCGCGGGCAUUCGCGCCCGUCCGUGAGCGCGUACACAACGCGCGGCGGGGACGCAAAGCGUUUUGAACGGUUGCGCAAAACGUUUUACGCGUUCGUGAACCGAUGUAAACACAACAAAUGUUAUGCGGUCCGGAGGGUGAGGAGUAUAAUAAUGUUCAGGUUGUGUUUAACUAUACAGUUUCUAUACAUCCGCACUCGGGAACGGGAACGGAAAUACACAGCGUUCGCUGCGUUACUUUUGGACGGCGGAAUAACACAGGCCCGUGUUUUAUUUCUGCCGGCUGUUUCAUUGUUCUCAAGCCAAUGUGAUAACAUUGCGGUAUUUGCGAAAAGACCGACGGCGAUUUCCCGACUACUUCGCGGGACGAGCCCACCGGGUCUGGCGAUAACGUGGGGCGAACGGACCAAGGGUCGCCAACUUUCAAACUGUGCAACGUAGGAUAAUAUGGUUUCGUUCGCGUCCGUUUCGCAUCGUAAUUAAAUUGAAUACAAAAUGUAUUAUCAUU